rnacentral:ncRNA from 1 species
AUAAAUAAAUAGUAAUAAAGUUCCCUUAUAUCGCGAGAUAUAUUGAAUAAUCGGGUGAAUUGCAAGGAACUCUUCGUGUGGGCCUAUAAAAAUCUUCGAUUUUUAUUGGCCCGCCCCUCAUUAGUACUAACUUUCUAUAAAUAGGUAGUAUUAGUAAAGAUACAAAAGACAAUUUGCAGCGAAGCUAUUAUAAGCACCUUAUUCUACUAUGUUUGCUGCGGUAAAAUAUGAAUAUAAUAGAACGUUCAACGACUAAUCGGUGAGUUGUGCUAACAAUAACCCGGACACGAGCGCCCGACAUCUGUAGAUUUCUGUUUAUAGAUGAUGACAUAGUCUAAGCUUAUUAGAAAUAAUAAG